GGCCUUAUCAACUUUUGAUGGUAGGAUAGUGGCCUACCAUGGUGGUAACGGGUGACGGAGAAUUAGGGUUCAAUUCUGGAGAGGGAGCCUGAGAAACGACUACCACAUCCAAGGAAGGCAGCAUGCGCGCAAAUUACCCAAUCCUGACACGGGGAGGUAGUGACAAUAAAUAACAAUACCGGGCUCUUUGAGUCUGGUAAUUGGAAUGAGUACAAUCUAAAUCUCUUAACGAGGAUCCAUUGGAGGGCAAGUCUUGUGCCAGCAGCCGCGGUAAUUCCAGCUCCAAUAGCGUAUAUUUAAGUUGUUGCAGUUAAAAAGCUCGUAGUUGAACCUUGGGAUGGGUCGCCCGGUCCGCCUUUGGUGAGCACCGGUCGGCUUGUCUCUUCUGUUGGCGAUAUGCUCCUGGCCUUAACUGGCCGGGUCGUGCCUCCGGCGCUGUUACUUCGUAUCAGCGAUAUUCCGCCGAGAAGGCCGAAGAACUGUCCAGAAGCUAGAGGAGGUUCUGUCCGAGUCCAGAUCAGUC
rnacentral:ncRNA from 1 species